rnacentral:rRNA from 1 species
AUCAACUUUCGAUGGUAGGAUAGAGGCCUACCAUGGUGGUAACGGGUAACGGGGUGUUAGGGCACGACACCGGAGAGGGAGCCUGAGAAACGGCUACCACAUCCAAGGAUGGCAGCAGGCGCGCAAAUUACCCAAUCCCGACACGGGGAGGUAGUGACAAUAAAUAACAAUACGGGGUUCUUUAGGAUCUCGUAAUUGGAAUGAGUACAAUUUAAAUCUCUUAACGAGGAACAAUUGGAGGGCAAGUCUGGUGCCAGCAGCCGCGGUAAUUCCAGCUCCAAUAGCGUAUAUUAAAGUUGUUGCAGUUAAAAAGCUCGUAGUUGAAUUUCGGGGUUAGUAGGUUGGUCAUGCCUCUGGUAUGUACUGGUCUCACUGAUUCCUCCUUCCUGAUGAACCGUAAUGCCAUUAAUUUGGUGUUGCGGGGAAUUUGGACUGUUACUUUGAAAAAAUUAGAGUGUUUAAAGCAAGCUAACGCUUGAAUACAUUAGCAUGGAAUAAUGAAAUAGGACGUUCGAUCCUAUUUUGUUGGUUUCUAGGAUUGACGUAAUGAUUAAUAGGGAUAGUUGGGGGCAUUAGUAUUCAAUUGUCAGAGGUGAAAUUCUUGGAUUUAUUGAAGACUAACUACUGCGAAAGCAUUUGCCAAGGAUGUUUUCAUUAAUCAAGAACGAAAGUUAGGGGAUCGAAGACGAUCAGAUACCGUCGUAGUCUUAACCAUAAACUAUGCCGACUAGGGACCGGAUGAUGUUAAUUUUUUAAUGACUCAUUCGGCGCCUUACGGGAAACCAAAGUGUUUGGGUUC